UAACUGGGAUGACUUGUCUAGAUCUUAGGCAAAAAUUCACUUAGCACAUCAGCUCCUGGAAACAAAUGCACUUAACCAGAAAAAUAGGGACAUCAACCAGCAAAGAUGCAUCCUCAUUUAAUAGAGCUUGAAAUUACUAUAAUCUGUAAAGUACAGUGAGAAGAAGAAGUUUCACCUGCCUGCACAUCAGUCAUUGAUUCUCCAUUUGACUUGGAGGGACUCUGAGGGACCGACCUGAGCCUGAGAAGAGGCAAGAUUCCCCUUCAAGGACACACUGGGAACUUACGGACCUCUUUCUCCAUGGUGCAGAGCACAGAGGUGAAGAAACAGACUCAGAAUAGUCCUUGAGCUUGCCACUGGGAAGUGAAAAUCAAUUGCUUGAAUAAAUGUAAGGACUCAGGGACCAAGAACUGAUGAAAGGCCUGAAGAUAAGGAUCAUGGGAGGAGUCUGAAUUCUGCUAAAAUGUAGGCAUCGUUUCUAUCAUCCUUACUACUCAGGAGUCAUGUGGUCAGAGGUCACAAGAUUUGAGCCGCCCCCAAUUGAUCCUAUGGAUAACUUAGCUACUAUAGAGCCUAAAAUUGGUCUCUCAAGAUGUUUUUCAGACCUUUGCAUUCUGGCAAUCAACUGACCUCACCUGGACUCAUGAGUCAUGACUGAACCCGUCCUGUGGCCCCACCUGGAGAUAAACUCAGCACACAAGGAUCAUUUUCCCACACUUCUAUGAUUUCAUAUCCAACCAAUCAAUGGCACCCAUUUUCUAGCCUCCUGUUCACCAAAGCAUCUUUGAAAAAUCCUAACCUCUAAGCCUCUGGGAAGACUGAUUCGAGUAAUAACUCUGUUCCCUGCAUGGCUGGCCUAGUGUCAAUUAAACUCUUUCUUUACUGCAAUACCAUGGUCUCAGCGAAUUGGUUUUGUCUGUGCAAUGGGCAGAAAGAACCUGUCUGGUGAGCAUCUCCACACAUUCAGGAAUUGUCUAUCUAAGACAAUGGAGUUAUCUUCACCCUCAACAAAUGUCUCAACUCUGUGACAUUUUAAGCAAAUCUUAACUUUGACUUAUGAAUUCAAGAAGGAAGAAAAAAGUAAGAAACUGUGAUUGUAAUAGUUCCUCUGGACGUCCUCCCCACUGGAGACAGGCUCCCUUGCUGUUGUGUGGUCACUGUUCUCAUUAACCUAAUGAAAUCUACACUUGCAAAUGAAGUCCUGGGGUCCGGACUAAAUGUUCACAGUCUGGCCACAUGCUAAUAUUUCAUGUGCUAGCCCGUAUCUUUAAAUAGACUCAUGGAAAUGUGUUAAAUGAUAUAACAGAAUAAAAAUCAAGCUUAACUUAAA